AAACCGAGUCUUAAUUGGGCGUUAAGUUGCAGGGUAUAGACCCGAAACCCGGUGAUCUAGCCAUGGGCAGGUUGAAGGUUGGGUAACACUAACUGGAGGACCGAACCGACUAAUGUUGAAAAAUUAGCGGAUGACCUGUGGCUGGGGGUGAAAGGCCAAUCAAACCGGGAGAUAGCUGGUUCUCCCCGAAAGCUAUUUAGGUAGCGCCUCGUGAAUUCAUCUCCGGGGGUAGAGCACUGUUUCGGCUAGGGGGCCAUCCCGGCUUACCAACCCGAUGCAAACUGCGAAUACCGGAGAAUGUUAUCACGGGAGACACACGGCGGGUGCUAACGUCCGUCGUGAAGAGGGAAACAACCCAGACCGCCAGCUAAGGUCCCAAAGUCAUGGUUAAGUGGGAAACGAUGUGGGAAGGCCCAGACAGCCAGGAUGUUGGCUUAGAAGCAGCCAUCAUUUAAAGAAAGCGUAAUAGCUCACUGGUCGAGUCGGCCUGCGCGGAAGAUGUAACGGGGCUAAACCAUGCACCGAAGCUGCGGCAGCGAACGUAUCACCCAAGACAACUUUACGGAGUUGACGAUUGACGGAGCGAAGCGACGUCAAAGCGUUCAUUAAAGUCGAGUUGGCUUAGGGAUACGUUCGUUGGGUAGGGGAGCGUUCUGUAAGCCUGUGAAGGUGUGUCGUGAGGCAUGCUGGAGGUAUCAGAAGUGCGAAUGCUGACAUAAGUAACGAUAAAGCGGGUGAAAAGCCCGCUCGCCGGAAGACCAAGGGUUCCUGUCCAACGUUAAUCGGGGCAGGGUGAGUCGACCCCUAAGGCGAGGCCGAAAGGCGUAGUCGAUGGGAAACGGGUUAAUAUUCCCGUACUUGGUGUUACUGCGAAGGGGGGACGGAGAAGGCUAUGUUGGCCGGGCGACGGUUGUCCCGGUUUAAGCGUGUAGGUGUGUG
rnacentral:rRNA from 1 species